rnacentral:rRNA from 1 species
UACAGAGGGUGCGAGCGUUAAUCGGAAUUACUGGGCGUAAAGCGUGCGUAGACGGUUACAUAAGUCGGGUGUGAAAGCCCCGGGCUCAACCUGGGAAUUGCAUUCGAGACUGCGUAGCUAGGGUGCGGAAGAGGGAAGCGGAAUUUCCGGUGUAGCGGUGAAAUGCGUAGAUAUCGGAAGGAACACCAGUGGCGAAAGCGGCUUCCUGGUCCAGCACCGACGUUCAGGCACGAAAGCGUGGGAGCAAACAGG